rnacentral:tRNA from 1 species
GCCCAGGUGGCUCAGUCGGUUGAGCAUCCGGCUUCGGCUCAGGUCACCAUCUCGCGGUUCGCGGGUUCGAGCCCCGCGUCGGGCU